rnacentral:tRNA from 1 species
GCGGGGAUGCCGGAGCGGUCAAACGGGACACGUUAAGGCCGUGUUGGCUUAGUGCCUGCGAAGGUUCGAAUCCUUCUCCCCGCA